AGUGAACGCUGGCGGUAGGCCUAACACAUGCAAGUCGAACGGCAGCACAGUAAGAGCUUGCUCUUACGGGUGGCGAGUGGCGGACGGGUGAGGAAUACAUCGGAAUCUACUUUUUCGUGGGGGAUAACGUAGGGAAACUUACGCUAAUACCGCAUACGACCUACGGGUGAAAUCAGGGGAGCUUCGGACCUUGCGCGACUGAAUGAGCCGAUGUCGGAUUAGCUAGUUGGCGGGGUAAAGGCCCACCAAGGCGACGAUACGUAGCUGGUCUGAGAGGAUGAUCGGCCACACUGGAACUGAGACACGGUCCAGACUCCUACGGGAGGCAGCAGUGGGGAAUAUUGGACAAUGGGCGCAAGCCUGAUCCAGCCAUACCGCGUGGGUGAAGAAGGCCUUCGGGUUGUAAAGCCCUUUUGUUGGGAAAGAAAAGCAGCAGGUUAAUACCCCGCUGUUCUGACGGUACCCAAAGAAUAAGCACCGGCUAACUUCGUG
rnacentral:rRNA from 1 species